GCGAAGAACCUUACCUACUCUUGACAUCCAGAGAACUUUCCAGAGAUGGAUUGGUGCCUUCGGGAACUCUGAGACAGGUGCUGCAUGGCUGUCGUCAGCUCGUGUUGUGAAAUGUUGGGUUAAGUCCCGCAACGAGCGCAACCCUUAUCCUUGUUUGCCAGCGAGUAAUGUCGGGAACUCCAGGGAGACUGCCGGUGAUAAACCGGAGGAAGGUGGGGACGACGUCAAGUCAUCAUGGCCCUUACGAGUAGGGCUACACACGUGCUACAAUGGCGCAUACAGAGGGCAGCCAACUUGCGAAAGUGAGCGAAUCCCAAAAARWGSGUCGUAGUCCGGAUUGGAGUCUGCAACUCGACUCCAUGAAGUCG
rnacentral:rRNA from 1 species